GGCGGCUCCCUGGCUUUCAGGGAGGCUUUCAGGGAACGGAUAAGCUGACCAAACUAGUUGAGAUGCAUCGUGGAGGGUGGAGGGCAGAACGCAACGUAGGGCUGCGCACACUGGCCCUGCCAGUGUGAGAUCAGGUCGGCUUUAAAAGCCAUCUCGGCCCCUCCCUCUUCCAGAAGGGAGGUUCACUGAGGUGUUCCCGUCUCUUCUUGGCAGUCUGGGUUCCCGUGUGGCUGUUGAUUUCUGUGGCUUCAUACCGUUGGCCGGCUUGUGAUGGAAUUUUGGUGCCAGCCUCCUCACUGUGAUGGCCCGGGUGCCUAGCGACAUCAGCCCCGCCAUUUCUGUGCAGGCUCUGUCAUCAUUCCAGACACACAGAUUGGGUCUUCCGGGGUUCGAUGUUCAGCUCUGGUCAAAACCAGGGCAGGGGCCCAUGGAUCCAGGUAGCUGCAGGGACACCCCUGGGGCUUGACACAUGCCUGCAAUGAAACCUUUUUUUGGGAAGCCUUUGGUCUUUCAAAAACAUUUUAAUGAUGAAAAUAAAAAUGGUGAGGAA